UACGAAGGGGGCUAGCGUUGUUCGGAAUUACUGGGCGUAAAGCGCGCGCAGGCGGCUAUCCAAGUCAGUGGUGAAAGCCCGGAGCUCAACUCCGGAACUGCCAUUGAAACUGUUUAGCUUGAGUAUGAGAGAGGUGAGUGGAAUUCCCAGUGUAGAGGUGAAAUUCGUAGAUAUUGGGAAGAACACCGAUGGCGAAGGCAGAUCUCUGGGCCGUAACUGACGCUGAGGAGCGAAAGCAUGGGGGAGCGAACAGGA
rnacentral:rRNA from 1 species